rnacentral:rRNA from 1 species
CAGUCGCCGCGGGAAUACGUAGGGUGCGAGCGUUAAUCGGAAUUACUGGGCGUAAAGCGUGCGCAGGCGGUUGUGUAAGACAGGUGUGAAAUCCCCGGGCUUAACCUGGGAGCUGCGCUUGUGACUGCACAGCUAGAGUAUGGCAGAGGGGGGUGGAAUUCCACGUGUAGCAGUGAAAUGCGUAGAGAUGUGGAGGAACACCGAUGGCGAAGGCAGCCCCCUGGGCCAAUACUGACGCUCAUGCACGAAAGCGUGGGGAGCAAACAGGAUUAGAUACCCGAGUAGUCCCUGUCUCUUAUAC